rnacentral:rRNA from 1 species
AACGUAGGAGACAACCGUUAUCCGGAGUUACUGGGCGUAAAGGGCGUGUAGGUGGUUGUGUAAGUCUGUCGUGAAAUUUUUCGGCUUAACCGGGAAAGGUCGUCGGAUACUGCAGAACUAGAGGACGGUAGAGGCGUGUGGAAUUCCGGGUGUAGUGGUGAAAUGCGUAGAGAUCCGGAGGAACACCAGUGGCGAAGGCGACACGCUGGGCCGUACCUGACACUGAUGCGCGACAGCAUGGGGAGCAAACAGG